rnacentral:lncRNA from 1 species
GAAUAAGAGCUAGUUGCCUAAUUCACUCGAAUCUGAUUCAAUUUGAGUCUAAUUUGAAUCAUAUGAACCCAAACUCUUAAUUAUCUAUAAAAUAGACUAAAAAAUAUCAAAUUUUAAUAAAUAAAAAGUAAUUAAAUAAAAUUAUAUGUUUCUAGUAAUUUAAUUUAAAUAUUCAUCAUAGCCCCCAACUUGAACUUUACUCAUCCUCGAGUAAAAUAAAAAAAUUAGUAAUAGGUACCGACUCGAUUUUGAAUUAAAAGUUAGGUUAGAUAUUUUUAAAGAUAGCUGAUACCCAGUC